UACGGAGGGUGCAAGCGUUAAUCGGAAUUACUGGGCGUAAAGGGUGCGUAGGUGGUUAAGUAAGUUAUCUGUAAAAUCCCUGGGCUCAACCUGGGCAGGUCAGAUAAAACUGUUUAACUCGAGUAUGGGAGAGGGUAGUGGAAUUUCCGGUGUAGCGGUGAAAUGCGUAGAGAUCGGAAGGAAAACCAGUGGCGAAGGCGGCUACCUGGCCCAAUACUGACACUGAGGCACGAAAGCGUGGGGAGCAAACAGGAUUAGAUACCCUGGUAGUCCACGCUGUAAACGAUGUCAACUAGCUGUUGGUUAUAUGAAUAUAAUUAGUGGCGCAGCUAACGCGAUAAGUUGACCGCCUGGGGAAUACGGUCGCAAGAUUAAA
rnacentral:rRNA from 1 species